UGAGGAAUAUUGGUCAAUGGGCGUAAGCCUGAACCAGCCAAGUCGCGUGAGGGAAGACGGCCCUAUGGGUUGUAAACCUCUUUUGUCGGGGAGCAAAGCCGCCCACGUGUGGGCGGAAGGAGAGUACCCGAAGAAAAAGCAUCGGCUAACUCCGUGCCAGCAGCCGCGGUAAUACGGAGGAUGCGAGCGUUAUCCGGAUUUAUUGGGUUUAAAGGGUGCGUAGGCGGCAUGGUAAGUCAGCGGUCAAAUCGAGGGGCUCAACCCCUUUCCGCCGUUGAAACUGCCGUGCUUGAGUGGGCGAGAAGUAUGCGGAAUGCGUGGUGUAGCGGUGAAAUGCAUAGAUAUCACGCAGAACUCCGAUUGCGAAGGCAGCAUACCGGCGCCCGACUGACGCUGAGGCACGAAAGCGUGGGGAUCGAACAGGAUUAGAUACCC
rnacentral:rRNA from 1 species